rnacentral:rRNA from 1 species
UAUUGGUCAAUGGGCGGGAGCCUGAACCAGCCAAGUCGCGUGAGGGAAGACGGUCCUACGGANUGUAAACCUCUUUUGCCGUGGANNCCNNNGNUCCUUGCGAGGGCCCAAUGAGAGUACCCGGAGAAAANNNANANGCUAACUCAUUGUCAGCAGCCGCGGUAAUACGGAGGAUGCGAGCGUUAUCCGGAUUUAUUGGAUUUAAAGGGUGCGUAGGCGGGCUGUUAAGUCAGCGGUCAAAUGUCAGGGCUCAACCCCGGCCUGCCGUUGAAACUGGCGGCCUCGAGUGGGCGAGAAGUAUGCGGAAUGCGUGGUGUAGCGGUGAAAUGCAUAGAUAUCACGCAGAACUCCGAUUGCGAAGGCAGCAUACCGGCGCCCUACUGACGCUGAGGCACGAAAGCGUGGGUAUCGAACAG